rnacentral:rRNA from 1 species
CUACGGGACGCUGCAGUGGGGAAUAUUGGACAAUGGGGGAAACCCUGAUCCAGCAAUGCCGCGUGUGUGAGGAAGGCCUGCGGGUUGUAAAGCACUUUCGGUUGGGAGGACUGCUUCUAGCACUAAUAUUGUUGGAAGUUGACGUUACCUUCAGAAGAAGCACCGGCUAACUCCGUGCCAGCAGCCGCGGUAAUACGGAGGGUGCAGCGUUAAUCGGAAUUACUGGGCGUAAAGCGCGCGUAGGCGGCUAGAUCAGUCGGGUGUGAAAGCCCCGGGCUUAACCGGGGAACUGCAUCCGAUACUGUCUAGCUUGAGUACAGGAGAGGAGAGUGGAAUUCCACAUGUAGCGGUGAAAUGCGUAGAUAUGUGGAGGAACACCAAUGGCGAAGGCAGCUCUCUGACCUGAUACUGACGCUGAGGUGCGAAAGCGUAGGGAGCAAACAGGAUUAGAUACCCUUGUAGUC